rnacentral:rRNA from 1 species
GUGGCCAUGUUGCAUGACGACGCUGGUUCUCGUUUGUGCAUCGAAGUUAAGCAACGUCACCCCUGGUUAGUACUUGCAUGGGUGUCUGGCUAAAAAUACCGGAUGUUGCGGCCAUU